GAUGAACGCUAGCGGCAGGCCUAACACAUGCAAGUCGAGGGGCAGCACGAGGUAGCAAUACUUUGGUGGCGACCGGCGCACGGGUGCGUAACGCGUAUGCAACCUACCUUUAACCAGGGGCAUAACACUGAGAAAUUGGUACUAAUUCCCCAUAACAUUUCGAGAAGGCAUCUUUCUUGGGGUUAAAAAACUCCGGUGGGUUAAAAGAUGGGGCAUGCGUUGUAUUAGCUAGUUGGUGAGGUAACGGCUCACCAAGGCAACGAUACAUAGGGGGACUGAGAGGUUAACCCCCCACAUUGGUACUGAGACA
rnacentral:rRNA from 1 species